rnacentral:rRNA from 1 species
AACGAACGCUGGCGGCAUGCCUAACACAUGCAAGUCGAACGAGAACUUCGGGUCUUGGGGCGCACGGGUGCGUAACGCGUGGGAACCUUCCCUUAGGUUCGGAAUAACUCCCCGAAAGGGGUGCUAAUACCGGAUCAUGUCUUCGGACCAAAGAUUUAUGGCCUUUGGAUGGGCCCGCGUUGGAUUAGCUAGUUGGUAGGGUAAUAGCUUACCAAGGCGACGAUGCAUAGCUGGUCUGAGAGGAUGAUUAGCCACACUUGGACUGAGAAACGGCCGAGACUCCUACGCAAUGCAGCAGAGGGGAAUAUAGGACAAUGGGGGAAAGCCUGAUGCAGCAAUGCCGCGUGAGUGAUGAAGGCCGUAGGGUUGUAAAGCUCUUUUACCCGGGAUGAUAAUGACAGUACCGGGAGAAUAAGCUCCGGCUAACUACGUG